rnacentral:rRNA from 1 species
UACGUAGGAUGCAAGCGUUGUCCGGAAUUAUUGGGCGUAAAGAGCGCGCAGGCGGUUCACCAAGUCAGAUGUGAAAUAGCCGGGCUUAACCCGGAGGGGUCAUUUGAAACUGGUGGACUAGAGUACAGCAGAGGAUAGCGGAAUUCCCGGUGUAGUGGUGAAAUGCGUAGAUAUCGGGAGGAACACCAGUGGCGAAGGCGGCUAUCUGGGCUGAAACUGACGCUGAGGCGCGAAGGCUAGGGGAGCAAACAGG